UGGCGGACGGGUGAGUAACGCGUGGAUAACCUGCCGUAUACCGGGGGAUAACACUUAGAAAUAGGUGCUAAUACCGCAUAAGCGCACGGCUCCGCAUGGGGCAGUGUGAAAAACUCCGGUGGUAUACGAUGGAUCCGCGUCUGAUUAGCUAGUUGGCGGGGUAACGGCCCACCAAGGCAGCGAUCAGUAGCCGGCCUGAGAGGGUGGACAGCCACAUUGGGACUGAGACACGGCCCAAACUCCUACGGAAGGCAGCAG
rnacentral:rRNA from 1 species